GAACUGAAGAGUUUGAUCAUGGCUCAGAUUGAACGCUGGCGGCAGGCCUAACACAUGCAAGUCGAGCGGCAGCGGGAAAGUAGCUUGCUACUUUUGCCGGCGAGCGGCGGACGGGUGAGUAAUGCCUGGGAAAUUGCCCAGUCGAGGGGGAUAACAGUUGGAAACGACUGCUAAUACCGCAUACGCCCUACGGGGGGAAAGCAGGGGACCUUCGGGCCUUGCGCGAUUGGAUAUGCCCAGGUGGGAUUAGCUAGUUGGUGAGGUAAUGGCUCACCAAGGCGACGAUCCCUAGCUGGUCUGAGAGGAUGAUCAGCCACACUGGAACUG
rnacentral:rRNA from 1 species